rnacentral:rRNA from 1 species
CCUACGGGGGGCAGCAGUCGAGAAUCUUUCACAAUGGGGGCAACCCUGAUGGAGCGACGCCGCGUGGAGGAUAAGGUCUUCGGAUUGUAAACUCCUGUCAUGCGAGAACAAGGUUGCAGGGCUAACACCUUUGCAAAUUGAUGGUACCGCAAGAGGAAGAGACGGCUAACUCUGUGCCAGCAGCCGCGGUAAUACAGAGGUGUAAAGACUGGUUGGGAAGGACUGGGAGGAGGGGGGGCGAGUCAGAUGUGAAAGCCCGGGGCUCAACCUCGGAAUUGCAUCCGAUACUGCCAUGCUGGAGUACUGAAGAGGUGACUAGAAUUCUAGGUGUAGCAGUGAAAUGCGUAGAUAUCUAGAGGAAUACCAACGGCGAAGGCAGGUCACUGGGCAGUUACUGACACUGAGGCACGAAGGCCAGGGGAGCAAACGGGAUUAGAUACCCCUGUAGUC